rnacentral:rRNA from 1 species
ACGGGAGGCAGCAGUGAGGAAUAUUGGUCAAUGGGCGGAAGCCUGAACCAGCCAAGUAGCGUGCAGGAUGACGGCCCUAUGGGUUGUAAACUGCUUUUGUGCGGGGAUAAAAAGCGGGACGUGUCCCGCCUUGUAGGUACCGCAAGAAAAAGGACCGGCUAAUUCCGUGCCAGCAGCCGCGGUAAUACGGAAGGUCCGGGCGUUAUCCGGAUUUAUUGGGUUUAAAGGGUGCGCAGGCGGCACGUUAAGUCAGCGGUGAAAUGUCGGGGCUCAACCCGGGCACUGCCGUUGAAACUGGCGAGCUUGAGUACGGAUGAAGUUGGCGGAAUGUGAUGUGUAGCGGUGAAAUGCUUAGAUAUGUCACAGAACACCGAUUGCGAAGGCAGCUGACUAAUCCGCAACUGACGCUCAGGCACGAAAGCGUGGGGAUCGAACAGGAUUAGAUACCCUGGUA